rnacentral:rRNA from 1 species
AUUGAACGCUGGCGGCAUGCUUUACACAUGCAAGUCGAACGGUAACAGGCCGCAAGGUGCUGACGAGUGGCGAACGGGUGAGUAAUGCAUCGGAACGUGCCCAGUCGUGGGGGAUAACGCAGCGAAAGCUGUGCUAAUACCGCAUACGAUCUAUGGAUGAAAGCGGGGGACCGUAAGGCCUCGCGCGAUUGGAGCGGCCGAUGUCAGAUUAGGUAGUUGGUGGGGUAAAGGCUCACCAAGCCAACGAUCUGUAGGUGGUCUGAGAGGACGACCAGCAACACUGGGACGAGGACACGGCCCAGCCUCCGACGGGAGGCAGAGGUGAGGAAUUUUGGACAAUGGGCGCAAGCCUGAUCCAGCAAUGCCGCGUGCAGGAAGAAGGCCUUCGGGUUGUAAACUGCUUUUGUACGGAACGAAAAGGUUUGGGUUAAUACCCUGGGCCGAUGACGGUACCGUAAGAAUAAGCACCGGCUAACUACGUGCCAGCCGCCGCCGUAA